GAUGAAGAACGCAGCGAAAUGCGAUAAGUAAUGUGAAUUGCAGAAUUCAGUGAAUCAUCGAAUCUUUGAACGCACAUUGCGCCCUCUGGUAUUCCGGAGGGCAUGCCUGUUCGAGCGUCAUUUCGACCCUCAAGCAUUGCUUGGUGUUGGGGCACCGCCUGUAAAAGGGCGGGCCCUGAAAUCUAGUGGCGAGCUCGCCAGGACCCCGAGCGUAGUAAUUAUAUUUCGUUCUGGAAGGCCCUGGCGGUGCCCUGCCGUUAAACCCCCAACUUCUGAAAAUUUGACCUCGGAUCAGGUAGGAAUACCCGCUGAACUUAAGCAUAUCAAUAAGCGGAGGA
rnacentral:misc_RNA from 1 species